rnacentral:rRNA from 1 species
CAGCAGCCGCGGUAAUACAGAGGGUGCAAGCGUUAAUCGGAAUUACUGGGCGUAAAGCGUGCGUAGGCGGUGAGUUAAGUCUGCUGUGAAAUCCCCGGGCUCAACCUGGGAAUGGCAGUGGAUACUGGCUCGCUAGAGUGUGUCAGAGGAUGGUGGAAUUCCCGGUGUAGCGGUGAAAUGCGUAGAGAUCGGGAGGAACAUCAGUGGCGAAGGCGGCCAUCUGGGACAACACUGACGCUGAGGCACGAAAGCGUGGGGAGCAAACAGGAUUAGAUACCCCCGUAGUCCCUGUCUCUUAUAC